rnacentral:rRNA from 1 species
AUACGGAGGGUGCAAGCGUUACUCGGAAUCACUGGGCGUAAAGGACGCGUAGGCGGGUUGGUAAGUCAGGUGUGAAGUCCUACAGCUUAACUGUAGAACUGCACUUGAAACUACCAACCUAGAGUAUGGGAGGGGGAGAUGGAAUUAGUGGUGUAGGGGUAAAAUCCGUAGAUAUCACUAGGAAUACCGAAAGCGAAGGCGAUCUCCUGGAACAUAACUGACGCUAAGGCGUGAAAGCGUGGGGAGCAAACAGGAUUAGAAACCCCGGUAGUCC